UUGAACGCUGGCGGCAGGCCUAACACAUGCAAGUCGAACGGUAACAGGAAGAAGCUUGCUUCUUUGCUGACGAGUGGCGGACGGGUGAGUAAUGUCUGGGAAACUGCCUGAUGGAGGGGGAUAACUACUGGAAACGGUAGCUAAUACCGCAUAACGUCGCAAGACCAAAGAGGGGGACCUUCGGGCCUCUUGCCAUCGGAUGUGCCCAGAUGGGAUUAGCUUGUUGGUGGGGUAACGGCUCACCAAGGCGACGAUCCCUAGCUGGUCUGAGAGGAUGACCAGCCACACUGGAACUGAGACACGGUCCAGACUCCUACGGGAGGCAGCAGUGGGGAAUAUUGCACAAUGGGCGCAAGCCUGAUGCAGCCAUGCCGCGUGUAUGAAGAAGGCCUUCGGGUUGUAAAGUACUUUCAGCGGGGAGGAAGGGAGUAAAGUUAAUACCUUUGCUCAUUGACGUUACCCGCAGAAGAAGCACCGGCUAACUCCGUGCCAGCAGCCGCGGUAAUACGGAGGGUGCAAGCGUUAAUCGGAAUUACUGGGCGUAAAGCGCACGCAGGCGGUUUGUUAAGUCAGAUGUGAAAUCCCCGGGCUCAACCUGGGAACUGCAUCUGAUACUGGCAAGCUUGAGUCUCGUAGAGGGGGGUAGAAUUCCAGGUGUAGCGGUGAAAUGCGUAGAGAUCUGGAGGAAUACCGGUGGCGAAGGCGGCCCCCUGGUCGAAGACUGACGCUCAGGUGCGAAAGCGUGGUGAGCAAACAGGAUUAGAUACCCUGGUAGUCCACGCCGUAAACGAUGUCGACUUGGAGGUUGUGCCCUUGAGGCGUGGCUUCCGGAGCUAACGCGUUAAGUCGACCGCCUGGGGAGUACGGCCGCAAGGUUAAAACUCAAAUGAAUUGACGGGGGCCCGCACAAGCGGUGGAGCAUGUGGUUUAAUUCGAUGCAACGCGAAGAACCUUACCUGGUCUUGACAUCCACAGAACUUUCCAGAGAUGGAUUGGUGCCUUCGGGAACUGUGAGACAGGUGCUGCAUGGCUGUCGUCAGCUCGUGUUGUGAAAUGUUGGGUUAAGUCCCGCAACGAGCGCAACCCUUAUCCUUUGUUGCCAGCGGUCCGGCCGGGAACUCAAAGGAGACUGCCAGUGAUAAACUGGAGGAAGGUGGGGAUGACGUCAAGUCAUCAUGGCCCUUACGACCAGGGCUACACACGUGCUACAAUGGCGCAUACAAAGAGAAGCGACCUCGCGAGAGCAAGCGGACCUCAUAAAGUGCGUCGUAGUCCGGAUUGGAGUCUGCAACUCGACUCCAUGAAGUCGGAAUCGCUAGUAAUCGUGGAUCAGAAUGCCACGGUGAAUACGUUCCCGGGCCUUGUACACACCGCCCGUCACACCAUGGGAGUGGGUUGCAAAAGAAGUAGGUAGCUUAACCUUCGGGAGGGCGCUUACCACUUUGUGAUUCAUGACUGGGGUG
rnacentral:rRNA from 1 species